rnacentral:rRNA from 1 species
AACGAACGCUGGCGGCAUGCCUAACACAUGCAAGUCGAACGAGACCUUCGGGUCUAGUGGCGCACGGGUGCGUAACGCGUGGGAACCUGCCCUUAGGUUCGGAAUAACUCCCCGAAAGGGGUGCUAAUACCGGAUAAUGUCUUCGGACCAAAGAUUUAUCGCCUUUGGAUGGGCCCGCGUUGGAUUAGCUAGUUGGUAGGGUAAAAGCCUACCAAGGCGACGAUCCAUAGCUGGUCUGAGAGGAUGAUCAGCCACACUGGUACUGAGACACGGCCCAGACUCCUACGGGAGGCAGCAGUGGGGAAUAUUGGACAAUGGGCGAAAGCCUGAUCCAGCAAUGCCGCGUGAGUGAUGAAGGCCGUAGGGUUGUAAAGCUCUUUUACCCGGGAUGAUAAUGACAGUACCGGGAGAAUAAGCUCCGGCUAACUCCGUG